GUCAAGUCAUCAUGGCCCUUACGCCUAGGGCUACACACGUGCUACAAUGGGGUGUACAAAGAGAAGCAAUACUGCGAAGUGGAGCCAAUCUCUAAAACAUCUCUCAGUUCGGAUUGUAGUCUGCAACUCGACUACAUGAAGCUGGAAUCGCUAGUAAUCGCAAAUCAGCCAUGUUGCGGUGAAUACGUUCCCGGGUCUUGUACUCACCGCCCGUCACACCAUGGGAGUUGUAUUCGCCUUAAGUCGGAAUACUAAACUAGUUACCGCCCACGGCGGAUGCAGCGACUGGGGUGAAGUCGUAACAAGGUAACCGUAGGUGAACCUGCGGUUGGAUCACCUCCUUUCAAGAG
rnacentral:rRNA from 1 species